AACGACAGGUUGGGGUUUUCUCUAACCAGUUGUGAAUCACUUUAAUCGCAGUGGCUUGAACCGGGCAAAAGUCGUAACAAGGUAGUUGUAGGUGAACCUGCAACUGGAUCAUCGCA
rnacentral:rRNA from 1 species